AUUGAACGCUGGCGGCAGGCCUAACACAUGCAAGUCGAGCGGCAGCGGAAAGUAGCUUGCUACUUUGCCGGCGAGCGGCGGACGGGUGAGUAAUGUCUGGGAAACUGCCUGAUGGAGGGGGAUAACUACUGGAAACGGUAGCUAAUACCGCGUAACGUCGCAAGACCAAAGAGGGGGACCUUCGGGCCUCUUGCCAUCAGAUGUGCCCAGAUGGGAUUAGCUAGUAGGUGGGGUAACGGCUCACCUAGGCGACGAUCCCUAGCUGGUCUGAGAGGAUGACCAGCCACACUGGAACUGAGACACGGUCCAGACUCCUACGGGAGGCAGCAGUGGGGAAUAUUGCACGAUGGGCGCAAGCCUGAUGCAGCCAUGCCGCGUGUAUGAAGAAGGCCUCCGGGUUGUAAAGUACUUUCAGCGGGGAGGAGGGUGUUGAGGUUAAUAACCUCAGCAAUUGACGUUACCCGCAGAAGAAGCACCGGCUAACUCCGUGCCAGCCGCCGCAGUAACAC
rnacentral:rRNA from 1 species